rnacentral:rRNA from 1 species
GCUUAACCGAAGAAGUGCAUCGGAAACUGGGUGACUUGAGUGCAGAAGAGGACAGUGGAACUCCAUGUGUAGCGGUGGAAUGCGUAGAUAUAUGGAAGAACACCAGUGGCGAAGGCGGCUGUCUGGUCUGCAACUGACGCUGAGGCUCGAAAGCAUGGGUAGCGAGCAGGAUUAGAUACCCUGGUAGUCCAUGCCGUAAACGAUGAGUGCUAGGUGUUGGAGGGUUUCCGCCCUUCAGUGCCGGAGCUAACGCAUUAAGCACUCCGCCUGGGGAGUACGACCGCAAGGUUGAAACUCAAAGGAAUUGACGGGGGCCCGCACAAGCGGUGGAGCAUGUGGUUUAAUUCGAAGCUACGCGAAGAACCUUACCAGGUCUUGACAUCUUGCGCUAACCUAAGAGAUUAGGCGUUCCCUUCGGGGACGCAAUGACAGGUGGUGCAUGGUUGUCGUCAGCUCGUGUCGUGAGAUGUUGGGUUAAGUCCCGCAACGAGCGCAACCCUUAUUACUAGUUGCCAGCAUUUAGUUGGGCACUCUAGUGAGACUGCCGGUGACAAACCGGAGGAAGGUGGGGAUGACGUCAAAUCAUCAUGCCCCUUAUGACCUGUGCUACACACGUGCUACAAUGGCGUAUACAACG